CCCGUACUUCCAUUUCUACUUAUUUCAGUCGAAACAAAUUGAUAACGCCAUGAAUUAGUGGAGGAGAGCUUUAAAACAAAUUCAAUAGCUAAAAAAAGGCUAAAUCUACGACACUGAAUAUGAGUAUGACAUGAACAGUUAACUGAAACAAAACUAAUAAUGCCACAGAUCAAUAAAGAUAGAGUAUCUGAACAAUUUCAUGCCUAAAAUGCUAGAUCUAUAAAAUCACAAACAGUUAUAGCACAAACAACCAGAAUUUUUAUUCAUAAGCUCAAAGAGAGAGAAUAAGUGAAUAUACACAUACCUAGAAACAUAACUCAUAUGAGAACGACCAAAUGAAAAUUUGAAGUUCGAGGAUGAAAAGUAAGUUAUGGAAUAUCAACAAAACAACAACAAUCUUCAGAGGUUUUUCACUCGAAUUAUUCUUUGGUACCGGAAAUUUCAUGAUGAACAUAUAGUAACUAGAAACCUUAAAUCCCUUUGAAUCCUAUUGUUCUUCAAUUUUGAAGUCCCCUCUCUUCUUCUUUUUUUUUUUUGAUUUUCUUUUCGAAUCUCUAUUUGAGGAUUUCGAGCUUUGAAUUUAGCUGUUAUUGUGUGUAAGUCGUGUGCGAUUGAGUGUGUGUGGGUGAAGUGUAAGUGAGAGAGUGACGAAGGGGGAGGUGAGCCGUUUAGUUCUGGUUGUAAAAGUGAGGGAGUCUCGUUUCUAUGGAAUUGGGGAUGGGGGUGACGACUAGGUUUCCAAAAAUAGGGGGAGGGUUUCGUCUGUCUUCUCUUGAGAGCAUCAGGUGACAGCUAGGGUUUUAGGUUUGGGUUUGGGG
rnacentral:lncRNA from 1 species